CCUACGGGUGGCAGCAGUGAGGAAUAUUGGUCAAUGGACGAGAGUCUGAACCAGCCAAGUAGCGUGAAGGAUGACUGCCCUAUGGGUUGUAAACUUCUUUUAUAAAGGAAUAAAACGAGGCACGUGUGCCUUUUUGCAUGUACUUUAUGAAUAAGGAUCGGCUACCUCCGUGCCAGCAGCCGCGGUAAUACGGAGGAUCCGAGCGUUAUCCGGAUUUAUUGGGUUGAAAGGGAGAGUAGAUGGGUGGUGAAGUCAGUUGUGAAAGUUUGCGGCUCAACCGUAAAAUUGCAAUUGAUACUGGGUGUCUUGAGUGCAGGUGAGGCAGGCGGAAUUCGGGGUGUAGCGGUGAAAUGCGUAGAUAUCACGAAGAACCCCGAUUGCGAAGGCAGCUUACUAAACUGUGACUGACACUGAGGCUCGAAAGCGUGGGUAGCAAACAGGAUUAGAUACCCUUGUAGUC
rnacentral:rRNA from 1 species